rnacentral:tRNA from 2 species
GGCCCUAUCGUCUAGUGGUUAGGACAGCAGCUUUUCAAGCUGUUAACUCGGGUUCGAUUCCCGAUAGGGUCACCA